rnacentral:rRNA from 1 species
CCUACGUGAGGCUGCAGUGGGGAAUAUUGCGCAAUGGGCGAAAGCCUGACGCAGCGACGCCGCGUGAGGGAUGAAGGUCUUCGGAUCGUAAACCUCUGUCAGCAGGGAAGAACGGUCACUGUGCUAAUCAGCAGUGAAUUGCCGGUACCUGCAAAGGAAGCACCGGUUAACUCCGUGCCAGCAGCCGCGGUAAUACGCAGGGUGCGAGCGUUAAUCGGAAUUACUGGGCGUAAAGCGCUCGUAGGCGGUCUGUCAAGUCAAGGGUGAAAUCCCCGCGCUCAACGUGGGAACUGCCUGUGAAACUGGCAAACUGGAGUGUGUGAGAGGAUAGUGGAAUUCCAGGUGUAGGAGUGAAAUCCGUAGAUAUCUGGAGGAACAUCAGUGGCGAAGGCGACUAUCUGGCACAUAACUGACGCUGAGGAGCGAAAGCGUGGGUAGCAAACAGGAUUAGAUACCCUUGUAGUC